rnacentral:rRNA from 1 species
UACGGGGGGGGCAAGCGUUGUUCGGAAUUACUGGGCGUAAAGGGCUCGUAGGCGGCCAACUAAGUCAGACGUGAAAUCCCUCGGCUUAACCGGGGAACUGCGUCUGAUACUGGAUGGCUUGAGUUUGGGAGAGGGAUGCGGAAUUCCAGGUGUAGCGGUGAAAUGCGCAGAUAUCAGGAGGAGCACCGGUGGCGAAGGCGGAUCUCUGGGCCAUUACUGACGCUGAGGAGCGAAAGCGUGGGGAGCGAACAGG